rnacentral:rRNA from 1 species
AGAGUUUGAUCAUGGCUCAGGAUAAACGCUGGCGGCGUGCCUAACACAUGCAAGUCGAACGCUCUUCGUAAGAAGAGAGUGGCGGACGGGUGAGUAACACGUGGGUAUCUGCCCUGAGGUGAGGAAUACCGGCGAGAAAUCGCCGACAAGACCGCAUACACUUCGCAAGAAGUAAAGUCGCAAGACGCCACAGGAUGAGC